GAUGAACGCUGGCGGCGUGCCUAAUACAUGCAAGUCGAGCGAACAGAUAAGGAGCUUGCUCCUUUGACGUUAGCGGCGGACGGGUGAGUAACACGUGGGUAACCUACCUAUAAGACUGGAAUAACUCCGGGAAACCGGGGCUAAUGCCGGAUAACAUUUAGAACCGCAUGGUUCUAAAGUGAAAGAUGGUUUUGCUAUCACUUAUAGAUGGACCCGCGCCGUAUUAGCUAGUUGGUAAGGUAACGGCUUACCAAGGCAACGAUACGUAGCCGACCUGAGAGGGGGAUCGGCCACACUGGAACUAGGACACGGUCCAGACUCCUACGGGAGGCAGCAGUAGGGAAUCUUCCGCAAUGGGCGAAAGCCUGACGGAGCAACGCCGCGUGAGGGAGGAAGGUCUUCGGAUCGUAAAACUCUGUUAUUAGGGAAGAACAAAUGUGUAAGUAACUGUGCACGUCUUGACGGUACCUAAUCAGAAAGCCACGGCUAACUACGUG
rnacentral:rRNA from 1 species